UACGUAGGGUGCAAGCGUUAAUCGGAAUUUCUGGGCGUAAAGCGUGCGCAGGCGGCUUUGCAAGACAGAUGUGAAAUCCCCGGGCUCAACCUGGGAACUGCAUUUGUGACUGCAAGGCUAGAGUACGGUAGAGGGGGAUGGAAUUCCGCGUGUAGCAGUGAAAUGCGUAGAUAUGCGGAGGAACACCGAUGGCGAAGGCAAUCCCCUGGACCUGUACUGACGCUCAUGCACGAAAGCGUGGGGAGCAAACAGG
rnacentral:rRNA from 1 species